UUACUGUACAUUCCUAAACACUGACUAACACAAUAUGGAUAAUCAUGCUGUUGCAAUUCAUCCACACGUUUCUCAAGCCCGCUUGUUUUUUCUCAGCUAGAGCGUGCCUUGGUGAAUCCUGUCGCUGAACCAAUUUCUCUCCCUUGGUCACGACCAUGCUAAGCUUUUCCUUUGUAUUUGCAAGGCCCUAUUAUUUUUCUGCUCAAGUUCCACCUUCACUCUUCCAAGUUAUGCAUUUGCUGCUCAAGCAAAUCAUUUGGAAAAAAAGCAGCCACAGCAAGAACACCAUAGCAGCAGCAACAUGGCCAUGCCAACAAGCAACAGCUUAAAACGGGAAAAUCGUAUGGAAAACAGGAAAAGAAACACCAGCAAGAAAGAACUAACUACAAAGUUCGUCGUCAUACCAGCAAUAUGACCAUGCCACAGCUUAAAAAGGGGAAAAUCGUGUGGAAAAUAGGAAAAGAAACACCAGCAAGAAAGAACUAACUACAAAGUUCGUAGUCAUACUAGCAAUAUGGACAGCUCACAGCUUAAAAAGGGAAAAUCGUGUGGACAACAGGAAAAGAAACACCAGCAAGAAAGAACUAACUACAAAGUUCGUAGUCAUACUAGCAAUAUGGACAGCUCACAGCUUAAAAGGGGAAAAUCGUGUGGACAACAGGAAAAGAAACACCAGCAAGAAAGAACUAACUACAACGUGCGUAGUCAUAC
rnacentral:lncRNA from 1 species